rnacentral:rRNA from 1 species
CCUACGGGAGGCAGCAGUCGGGAAUUUUGGGCAAUGGGCGAAAGCCUGACCCAGCAACGCCGCGUGAAGGAUGAAGUCUUUCGGGAUGUAAGCUUCGUAAGAAUAGGAAGAAUAAAUGACGGUACUAUUUGUAAGGUCCGGCUAACUACGUGCCAGCAGCCGCGGUAAUACGUAGGGACCAAGCGUUGUUCGGAUUUACUGGGCGUAAAGGGCGCGUAGGCGGCGUGACAAGUCACUUGUGAAAUCUCCGGGCUUAACUCGGAACGGUCAAGUGAUACUGUUGUGCUAGAGUGCAGAAGGGGCAAUCGGAAUUCUUGGUGUAGCGGUGAAAUGCGUAGAUAUCAAGAGGAACACCUGAGGUGAAGACGGGUUGCUGGGCUGACACUGACGCUGAGGCGCGAAAGCUAGGGUAGCAAACGGGAUUAGAUACCCCGGUAGUCCUAGCCCUAAACGAUGAAUACUUGGUGUCUGGAGUUUUAAUUCUCCGGGUGCCGUCGCUAACGUUUUUAGUACUCCGCCUGGGGAGUACGCACGCAAGUGUGAAACUCAAAGGAAUUGACGGA